AAAAAACUUAAAUCUGUCGACAUCACCAAGGGGGCGUUUUCCUAACUUACAAAUUGAAAGUCACAAUCAGAAGUUAAAAAAAGGAACGGAAUUUGCUAAAAGAACUACGUGCCUUUUUUUAUCAAAAGAAAAAUAGAGUACGUACUUUCAAAAUUAAACCCUAAUUAAAGUAUUAAAUCUUUUUCGUCCAGACCAACCAAGAAACCAGAUCCACUAUGACCUAGAAAAAAAUCCGAAAAAUCGAGAAGUUAAUAAUAAAAUGCGAUGAGUAAU
rnacentral:misc_RNA from 1 species